GGGUGCGAUCAUACCAGCACUAAUGCACCGGAUCCCAUCAGAACUUCAAAGUUAAGCGUGCUUGGGCGAGAGUAGUACUAGGAUGGGUGACCUCCUGGGAAGUCCUUGUGUUGCAUUCC
rnacentral:rRNA from 1 species